rnacentral:tRNA from 1 species
ACCUUGAUGGUGAAAUGGUAGACACAACUGAUUCAAAAUCAGUUUUUUGGAGGUUCGAGUCCUCUUCAAGGUA